GCAUUCAAAUCCUAUGAAGGGUAAGAUGAUAUCAAUCAUCACACUAAUGAAACAUGUGAGUUAUUAUAACAGUUUGUCUGAGUUUGUUGGUUUUUUAUGCAUGCAGGAUUGGUCAUUACACAGUUCCAAGAGAGAUGGGUGAAGUUUCCACCUGGCUUAGUUCAAGGUUAUUACAUGCUAACAUUAGGUUAAUUAGGCAUAUUUAGGGAUAAACUGUAAUUGGAUAAAUUAAUUGUUGGAAUAAGUCCCUACAUGUUUGAAAUGAUGAAAACUCAUGGAAUCUAGGGAAAAGAAUUGAUUUAUAAACUGUUUGGAAUUGGCUGUAUUGAUAAUUAUGCAGGUUCCUCGCGUUUGAAACGACUCAAGGAGGUUAUGCAUCGGUGCAUACAUGUCUCUGUAACUGAAAAUGCGUUUGAAACUCACUGAGGCUUAAUUAGGAGUCUCACCCCACUAUUAUUUGUUUCAGAUAAGCUUGCAGAAUAUGGUAAGAGGCCUAUGGAGUAGUAGAUGAUGAUGUGCUUGCAGUNNNNNNNNNNNNNNNNNNNNNNNNNNNNNNNNNNNNNNCAUCGAUACAUAUGUCGCAUGAACUGGUACAUAGAGCCAGAACUUAUUUUUCCGAACAACCUUGGUUAUUGGCACCGGUACAUAUUUCCUUUGAACCGAUGCAUCCUGAGACAAGUUUUGUAUUUUAAAAUAAUUAGAUUCCAUGGUUUCAUAUUUUCCCACAUGCUUUAAAAUCAAUCUAGACUAAGAUUUAGGUGACGAAAUUAUGAUUAUUAGAAUUACCCGGGAUGGCCGUUAAGUUAAGAACACUAAGAAAUUAUAAUAGUCGAGUAGAUUAGUGGUUAAUUAACACCCAAACCACUAUUCAGUAUAGUCUCGACUAUAGUAAGAUUUCCGUACAUUAGUAGGAAUCCUUUAAGUUAAGUAAUUAAUGUGAGUAAGACCAACGUGACAUAGCUAUGUCACAACGGGUAGUGGAGAACAUCCUAAGAGUAGUACAUCCUUAGUGGACCUUUCGAGAUAUACUCACCUCGGAAGUUUCCUUUAAAAUGAAUAAGAUUAACUUGUGUGAUACACUUUAUAUUAUGAUGUUUAUUAUGUUUUACAUAAAUAUCGAUAUUCAGUUCACUUUAGCGAAUCAGUGUUAGUGCACAAAGUAGCGGGUAGCAAGAAACUCACUGAGGCUUAAUUAGGAGUCUCACCCCACUAUUAUUUGUUUCAGAUAAGCUUGCAGAAUAUGGUAAGAGGCCUAUGGAGUAGUAGAUGAUGAUGUGCUUGCAGUGCUCCUUAAUUUCACAUGUUUUGUAUUUUGUAUCAUGACUUGUAGACAUGUUGUAUCAUGACUUGUGACAAUUAUGUAUUAAGACUAUGGUAUCAGUACUAUUUCAAUGUUAAGUACCUUGAAUGCACAAGAUCUCUAUUAAAAUUUUAAUGUAUUUUAGUACUGUUAUGUACAUGCUAUAUCACAUUCUAGAUAUUCGAUAUGGGAUGUUAUACAUGGUAUAGCUUGAAGAUAACUUAAUAUGAACUAGAAGCAUGAUUGAAUGUCUCUAGAAAAAAAAACCAUACAAAAGCUACAAAAAAACGAAAAAAAAAAAUAAAAAUAAAACUAACAUACCACUACUG
rnacentral:lncRNA from 1 species